CCGUUUCGGAGGGAAUAGCGGCGAACGGCUGAGUAACACGUAGGAACCUGCCCCUCAGUGGGGGAUAGCCUCGGGAAACCGGGGGUAAUCCCCCAUAGUUCCCCUCCGAUUCGGAGGGGAUAAAGGGCUUAACUGCCCGCUGAGGGAGGGGCCUGCGGCCUAUCAGGUAGUUGGUAGGGUAAUGGCCUACCAAGCCUAUGACGGGUAGCCGGUCUGGGAGGACGAUCGGCCAGAGGGGCACUGAGACACGGGCCCCAGCCCUACGGGGCGCAGCAAUCAGGAAUCGUGGGCAAUGGGCGAAAGCCUGACCCCGCGACGCCGCGUGCGGGAAGACGCUCUUUAUGGAGUGUAAACCGCUGUGGUAGGGGAUGAAGACCUCCGAUUCGGAGGUUUGACAGUACCCUACUAGAAAGGGGCCGCUAACUGCGUGCCAGAAGCGUCGGUGAUACGUGGGCCCCGAGCGUUAUCCGG
rnacentral:rRNA from 1 species